rnacentral:rRNA from 1 species
AUUGAACGCCGGCGGCAUGCCUUACACAUGCAAGUCGAACGGCAGCACGGGGCAACCUGGUGGCGAGUGGCGAACGGGUGAGUAAUGCAUCGGAACGUACCUUUCAGUGGGGGAUAACGUAGCGAAAGUUACGCUAAUACCGCAUAUUCUGUGAGCAGGAAAGCAGGGGAUCGCAAGACCUUGCGCUGAUUGAGCGGCCGAUGUCAGAUUAGCUAGUUGGUGAGGUAAAGGCUCGCCAAGGCGACGAUCUGUAGCGGGUCUGAGAGGAUGAUCCGCCACACUGGAACUGAGACACGGUCCAGACUCCUACGGGAGGCAGCAGUGGGGAAUUUUGGACAAUGGGGGCAACCCUGAUCCAGCCAUGCCGCGUGAGUGAAGAAGGCCUUCGGGUUGUAAAGCUCUUUCGGCCGAGAAGAAAUCGCACGGGCUAAUACCCUGUGUGGAUGACGGUACCGGAAUAAGAAGCACCGGCUAACUACGUGCCAGCCGCCGCGGUAAAAC